UUCUGGCUCAGGAUGAACGCUGGCGGCGUGCCUAACACAUGCAAGUCGAACGGGGUUAAGGGAAAUUUCGGAUGGAACUUAACUUAGUGGCGGACGGGUGAGUAACGCGUGGAUAACCUGCCUCACACUGGGGGAUAGCAGCUGGAAACGGCUGGUAAUACCGCAUAAGACCACGAUGCCGCAUGGCACCGGGGUAAAAGAUUUAUCGGUGUGAGAUGGAUCCGCGUCUGAUUAGCCAGUUGGCGGGGUAACGGCCCACCAAAGCGACGAUCAGUAGCCGGCCUGAGAGGGUGAACGGCCACAUUGGGACUGAGACACGGCCCAAACUCCUACGGGAGGCAGCAGUGGGGAAUAUUGCACAAUGGGCGCAAGCCCGAUGCAGCAACGCCCGCGUGAGUGAAGAAGUAUUUCGGUAUGUAAAGCUCUAUCGGCAGGGAAGAAAGGCCCGAAAGGGAGAUGACGGUACCUGACUAAGAAGCCCCGGCCAACUACGUGCCAGCAGCCGC
rnacentral:rRNA from 1 species